UCUGGCCUGCUCGAUGCGUAUGUUAAUGGCCGCGGUAUAUUGACCGUGCGAAGGUAGCAUAAUAAUUAGGCUAUUAAUUGUAGUCUUGUAUGAAAGGUUGAACAUAGGAAAUUCUUUCUUAUGUGUAUUGUUGAAUUUAAAUAAUUAGUAAGAAUGCUAAUGUGAGUUAAAGGGACGAGAAGACCCUAUUGAGUUUUAUAUUUAAGUUUUUGGUUUGUUUGAUUUAUUAUAUGAUGGUUAAUAUUUGGUUGGGGCGACUAUUUUAAUUAAACAUUAUAUUUUUUUU
rnacentral:rRNA from 1 species